rnacentral:rRNA from 1 species
CCUACGGGAGGCAGCAGUGAGGAAUAUUGGUCAAUGGUCUGACGACUGAACCAGCCAAGUCGCGUGAGGGAAGAAUGUCCUAUGUGUCGUAAACCUCUUUUGUCAGGGAGCAACGCCUGCUACGCGUAGCCGGACUGGGAGAACCUGAAGAAAAGCCAUGGGCUACCCCCGGGCACCCAGCCGCGGUAAUACGGAGGUUGCGAGCGUUAUCCGGAUUUAUUGGGUUAAAUGGUUGCGUAGGCGGAAUGCCAAGUCAGCGGUAAAAGCGCGGGCCUCAACCCCGCUCCGCCGUUGAAACUGGCAGUCUCGAGUGGGCGAGAAGUAUGCGGAAUGCGUGGUGUAGCGGUGAAAUGCAUAGAUAUCGCGCAGAACUCCGAUUGCGAAGGCAGCAUGCCGGCGCCCAACUGACGCUGAGGCACGAAAGCGUGGGUAUCGAACAGGAUUAGAUACCCGGGUAGUC